rnacentral:rRNA from 1 species
GAUGAACGCUGGCGGCGUGCUUAACACAUGCAAGUCGAACGGAAAGGCUCCUGCUUUCCGGGGUACUCGAGUGGCGAACGGGUGAGUAACACGUGGGUGACCUGCCCUUCACUUCGGGAUAAGCCUGGGAAACUGGGUCUAAUACCGGAUAGGACCUCAUUCUGCAUGGUGUGGUGGAGAGAUUGGCGGUGUGGGUUGAGCUCGCGGCCUAUUAGCUGGUUGGUGGGGUAGUGGCUGACUAAGGCGUCGACGGGUAGCCGGCCUGAGAGGGUGUACGGCCACAUUGGGACUGAGAUACGGACCAGACUCCUACGGGAGGCAGCAGUGGGGAAUAUUGCACAAUGGGCGCAAGCCUGAUGCAGCGACGCCGCGUGCGGGAUGACGGCCUUCGGGUUGUAAACUGCUUUCGCUGGGGACGAAGCGCGAGUGACGGUACCGGGUGAAGAAGCACCGGCUAACUACGUG